rnacentral:tRNA from 1 species
UCCGCGGUGGCGCAAUGGUAGCGCGGGUGCCUGUUAAGCACUAGGUUGUAGGUUCGAAUCCUACCCGCGGAGCCG